AGUGCGAAUCUCGAAAGCCUGUCUCAGUUCGGAUUGGAGGCUGAAACCCGCCUCCAUGAAGUUGGAUUCGCUAGUAAUCGCGCAUCAGCCAUGGCGCGGUGAAUACGUUCCCGGGCCUUGUACACACCGCCCGUCAAGCCAUGAGAGUUGGCAACACCCGAAGUCGGUAGUCUAACCGCAAGGAGGACGCCGCCGAAGGUGGGGUUGAUGAUUAGGGUUAAGUCGUAACAAGGUAUC
rnacentral:rRNA from 1 species